rnacentral:tRNA from 1 species
GACCGCGUAGCUCAGUUGGCAGGGCAUUGGGUUAGUAUGCCAGAGGUCGUAGGUUCGAUUCCCACCGUGGCCA